rnacentral:rRNA from 1 species
CCUACGGGAGGCUGCAGUGGGGAAUAUUGCACAAUGGAGGAAACCCUUAUGCAGCCAUACCGCGUGUAUGAAGAAGGCCUUAGGGUUGUAAAGUACUUUCAGCGAGGAGGAAAGGUAAGUAGUUAAUAACUGCUUACUGUGACGUUACUCGCAGAAGAAGCACCGGCUAACUCCGUGCCAGCAGCCGCGGUAAUACGGAGGGUGCAAGCGUUAAUCGGAAUUACUGGGCGUAAAGCGCAUGCAGGCGGUUUGUUAAGCGAGAUGUGAAAGCCCCGGGCUCAACCUGGGAACUGCAUUUCGAACUGGCAAACUAGAGUUCUUGAGAGGGUGGUAGAAUUUCAGGUGUAGCGGUGAAAUGCGUAGAGAUCUGAAGGAAUACCAGUGGCGAAGGCGGCCACCUGGCAAGUAACUGACGCUCAGAUGCGAAAGCGUGGGUAGCA